rnacentral:lncRNA from 10 species
GUCAGAGACCCUUCCCUGCGGAGGCCCACAGCCCCUGCGGCCACUUCUUCCCCGAAUCUCAAUCCUGCUUCGUGUGGCCACUGCUGAAAGAGACGCUCAGUGCCACUUAGAGCGCACAGCCCACUGGUCCAGGCUGUGCACACCCAGGGACCCUUCCAGGCAUUCCUCACCUCGGUGCAGGCCAGGAGCGAGAACUGCUGCCGGGCCCCCCCCCACCGGCUCAGGGCGUGGCUGGGGUGGCCCUGCUCCUCGGUGGCCCGCCUGGCCCCGCUGUGGGCUUCCCUCCCACCACCCCGGCCACAGUCACAGCGGGUUGUGUCAGGCCGCCCUCAUCUCCCACCUCCCAGGCCCAGCUGGCGCCUCCAGCCCUGGUGUGAAUUUCCAUUCAGGGUCCAAAAUCCACCUUGGCAGCGCCCUCAUUCUGCAGCUCCACGGAGCCCUCCAGCCAGAGAAGAGAAAUCUGAGUUUAACCCGAUCCUGUCAGAAGAGCGGGAGGAAAGAGCUCCGGCGGACAGGGCUCCCAGGCCCCUCCAGGACGAGGUUGGAGGACCAAGCGCAGAAGCAGGAACAGAGGUACAGAGAAUGGCGUCCAGGCCUCCUUAAGGACUCUCAAUCCAUGAGACAGGAAGCCCCACAGGGAAGCAGUGGCCCCCCGCCCCCUAUCUCCUCACAUACAGCACUCUGUACCUUCUGCUCAUUUUUCUGUAAACCUAAAACUGCUCUAAACAAUGAAGUCCGCCACGCAGAAACUGCACACGGAUGUUGAGAGCAGCUUUACUCAUAACUGCCAACACUCAGAAGCAACCGAGAUGUUCUCCAACAGCUGAAUAAAUAAAUAAACUGUGAUACACCUAAAUAAUGGAGGAUUAUUUAAUACUAAAAAGAAAGGGGCGGCCGGGCAUGGUGGCUCACGCCAGUAAUCCUAGCACUUAGGGAGGCCAAGGCGGGUGGAUCACCUGAGGUCAAGAGUUCACGACCAGCCUGGUCAAUAUGGCAAAACCCCAUCGCUAAUUUAAAAAUACAAAAAUUAGCCAGGCAUGGUGGC